UGGGGAAUUUUGGACAAUGGGGGAAACCCUGAUCCAGCAAUGCCGCGUGCAGGAUGAAGGCCUUCGGGUUGUAAACUGCUUUUGUACGGAACGAAAAGCUCUGGGUUAAUACCCUGGAGUCAUGACGGUACCGUAAGAAUAAGCACCGGCUAACUACGUGCCAGCAGCCGCGGUAAUACGUAGGGUGCGAGCGUUAAUCGGAAUUACUGGGCGUAAAGCGUGCGCAGGCGGUUUUGUAAGACAGUGGUAAAUCCCCGGGCUCAACCUGGGAACUGCCAUUGUGACUGCAAGGCUGGAGUGCGGCAGAGGGGGAUGGAAUUCCGCGUGUAGCAGUGAAAUGCGUAGAUAUGCGGAGGAACACCGAUGGCGAAGGCAAUCCCCUGGGCCUGCACUGACGCUCAUGCACGAAAGCGUGGGGAGCAAACAGGA
rnacentral:rRNA from 1 species